CACGUAGGGCGCAAGCGUUGUCCGGAAUUAUUGGGCGUAAAGAGCUCGUAGGCGGUCUGUUGCGUCCGCUGUGAAAACUCGGGGCUUAACCCCGAGCCUGCAGUGGAUACGGGCAGACUAGAGGUAGGUAGGGGAGAAUGGAAUUCCCGGUGUAGCGGUGAAAUGCGCAGAUAUCGGGAGGAACACCGGUGGCGAAGGCGGUUCUCUGGGCCUUACCUGACGCUGAGGCACGAAGGUCAGGGGAGCAAACGGG
rnacentral:rRNA from 1 species